rnacentral:rRNA from 1 species
ACGCUCGACACCUACGGGAGCCAGCAGUGGGGAAUAUUGCACAAUGGGGGAAACCCUGAUGCAGCGACGCCGCGUGAGUGAAGAAGUAUUUCGGUAUGUAAAGCUCUAUCAGCAGGGAAGAAGAUGACGGUACCUGAGUAAGAAGCCCCGGCUAACUACGUGCCANCACGCCGACGUAUCNGNGCGGNNGNAG